rnacentral:rRNA from 1 species
UACAUGCAAGUCGAACGAACUUCCGUUAAUUGAUUAUGACGUACUUGUACUGAUUGAGAUUUUAACACGAAGUGAGUGGCGAACGGGUGAGUAACACGUGGGUAACCUGCCCAGAAGUAGGGGAUAACACCUGGAAACAGAUGCUAAUACCGUAUAACAGAGAAAACCGCAUGGUUUUCUUUUAAAAGAUGGCUCUGCUAUCACUUCUGGAUGGACCCGCGGCGUAUUAGCUAGUUGGUGAGGUAAAGGCUCACCAAGGCAGUGAUACGUAGCCGACCUGAGAGGGUAAUCGGCCACAUUGGGACUGAGACACGGCCCAGACUCCUACGGGAGGCAGCAGUAGGGAAUCUUCCACAAUGGACGCAAGUCUGAUGGAGCAACGCCGCGUGAGUGAAGAAGGGUUUCGGCUCGUAAAGCUCUGUUGUUAAAGAAGAACGUGGGUAAGAGUAACUGUUUACCCAGUGACGGUAUUUAACCAGAAAGCCACGGCUAACUACGUGCCAGCAGCCGCGGUAAUACGUAGGUGGCAAGCGUUAUCCGGAUUUAUUGGGCGUAAAGCGAGCGCAGGCGGUCUUUUAAGUCUAAUGUGAAAGCCUUCGGCUCAACCGAAGAAGUGCAUUGGAAACUGGGAGACUUGAGUGCAGAAGAGGACAGUGGAACUCCAUGUGUAGCGGUGAAAUGCGUAGAUAUAUGGAAGAACACCAGUGGCGAAGGCGGCUGUCUGGUCUGCAACUGACGCUGAGGCUCGAAAGCAUGGGUAGCGAACAGGAUUAGAUACC